GAAAUAUAACUCAAAGUUUAUUGUUUUAUGGUGUCUCCCUCCAAAUCCUCGUAUGACGCUCCAACAAAAGGACAACCCACACCGCUAUGUCAAAGCCUUCGAGACUACGUUGAAGCUCGACUCCAUCGUAUUACCAAGGUCAAAUCAUGACGUCCCGACUUUUCAUAUCAAUAACGAGAACCUGAUCAUCAAAGUAGGCUAGAGGCCCAAAGUUCAUUUCAAUAACUCACGUACUACCCGUCGCCCUCGGAGAUGCCUUUCCGGGUGUUCAUCGUAAUCGACCGUAUAAAACGCGCACGUAUUCAUUUCACAUGAAUACGCCCACACAAUGUAUAUGAUAACCAAACCUACUUUCACCAAAACCAAAAUAACUUGGUACCCGUUCUAAUCAACUCGGUACCACCACCGUCUCACCAACCCGACUUUCAACCGAAUCACAUGGACAUUAAGUUCGAACACACUUUGUUGAAAUGUAACUCCUUUUCAUGUCCCUAGAGCGUGCAAGUUUCGUGUCAAAAAACGUGAUUUAGCAUGUUUUGGAAAAGUACGUCGCUCAGAAAUCAAUGUCUGUUCUGUCACAUUGCCUUUGUCAUUUGUUUAUAUAGGGGGU
rnacentral:misc_RNA from 1 species